rnacentral:rRNA from 1 species
UACGAAGGGGGCUAGCGUUGCUCGGAUUGACUGGGCGUAAAGGGCGCGUAGGCGGUUCGUACAGUCAGACGUGAAAUUCCUGGGCUCAACCUGGGGGCUGCGUUUGAUACGUGCGGACUUGAGUGCGGAAGAGGGUCGUGGAAUUCCCAGUGUAGAGGUGAAAUUCGUAGAUAUUGGGAAGAACACCAGUGGCGAAGGCGGCUCACUGGCCCGAUACUGACGCUGAGGCACGAAAGCGUGGGGAGCAAACAGG